UGCAAGUCGAGCGAGAAAAGGGGGGCAACUCCCUGAGUACAGCGGCGCACGGGUGAGUAACACGUGGGUAAUCUGCCCUGAAGUGGGGAAUAACACCGGGAAACCGGUGCUAAUACCGCAUACGAUCACGAGGUCUGCGGAUUUUGUGAUGAAAGGAGCAAUUCGCUUUAGGAGGAGCCCGCGGCUGAUUAGCUAGUUGGUGAGGUAAUGGCUCACCAAGGCAACGAUCAGUAUCCGGUCUGAGAGGACGGUCGGACACACUGGAACUGAGACACGGUCCAGACUCCUACGGGAGGCAGCAGUGGGGAAUUUUUGGCAAUGGGGGCAACCCUGACCAAGCAACGCCGCGUGGGUGAUGAAGUCUCUUGGGACGUAAAACCCUUUCGACGGGGAAGAAACCGCAAGGUUGACGGUACCCGUAGAAGAAGCCCCGGCUAACUCCGUGCCAGCAGCCGCGGUAAUACGGGGGGGGCAAGCGUUGUUCGGAAUUACUGGGCGUAAAGGGCGCGUAGGCGGUUCGCUAAGUUGGAUGUGAAAACUCUGGGCUCAACCCAGAGCCUGCAUCCAAAACUGGCGGGCUAGAGUUCUGGAGGGGGUAGCGGAAUUCCUGGUGUAGCGGUGAAAUGCGUAGAUAUCAGGAGGAACACCGGUGGCGAAGGCGGCUACCUGGACAGAAACUGACGCUGAGGCGCGAAAGCUAGGGGAGCAAACAGGAUUAGAUACCCUGGUAGUCCUAGCCCUAAACGAUGGAUACUUGGUGUGACGGGGAUUGAAUCCCGUCGUGCCGAAGCUAACGCAUUAAGUAUCC
rnacentral:rRNA from 1 species